rnacentral:rRNA from 1 species
CAGCAGCCGCGGCAAUACGUAGGUGGCAAGCGUUGUCCGGAAUCAUUGGGCGUAAAGCGCGCGCAGGCGGUCCUUUAAGUCUGAUGUGAAAUCUUGCGGCUCAACCGUAAGCGGUCAUUGGAAACUGGGGGACUUGAGUGCAGGAGAGGAAAGCGGAAUUCCAUGUGUAGCGGUGAAAUGCGUAGAGAUAUGGAGGAACACCGGUGGCGAAGGCGGCUUUCUGGCCUGUAACUGACGCUGAGGCGCGAAAGCGUGGGGAGCAAACAGGAUUAGAUACCCGGGUAGUCGACGCCGUAAACGAUGAGUGCUAAGUGUUGGAGGGGUUCCGCCCUUCAGUGCUGCAGCUAACGCAUUAAGCACUCCGCCUGGGGAGUACGGUCGCAAGACUGAAACUUAAAGGAAUUGGCGGG